CAGAAUGUUUGGAUACUGAUGACGAUUUAAGUCACUCUUCUUCUGUGCGCAAUUUGAAAUAAGGUCGUUUUUCUUUUUUCCUCUAUUCAAAGUUUACAUUCUGAGGGGUUCCCGUUUCCAUCUUCGUGAUCUUCUUGUGAUUCACUGCAUCGUGUCGCUACAUCUGUGAUAGUGUGAGUUGCAACCUGUCUGUUUUCUUUGUUUGAUCAUUGUAUGUAUUAAAAAAGUUUACAUUUCAUUCUAGAUAAGCUCUUUGUAUGUAUUAAAAAAAUUUUAUUCUCAAUAUAUAUGACUCAAUGAGAGGUCUUUUAUUAUAUAUAUGUCAUGAAUUUCUAUUGUAUUUUGAGAUUUGAUGGUGUAUUAUUGUCUCAUUGCAAGGUCUUGUAAUCACUCUGAUUCUCAUUUGAGGAGGUUGGUCUCGUCUAUGUGUAUGUAUUUAUAUCCACAAGAAAUUUGAUAAAUGGUCUUGUCGUUUUCUCAUUAAAACAUCUAGUGCUUCAUGGGUUGGAGGGCUACUAGGCAUCAGGGCCAGAUCUUUAAACUCAAAGUUCUUCGUGUCAUUUACCCAUUUGAUUAUCAAAUAGUCAUAAAAGCAUAUAAAUUCAAGUUAGUGUAUCAUUUUUACACAAUAUACUAAAACUAACACAAGAACUUGGCCGACAUUUUCAGUUGAAUAACUCAGACCCCCGAACUUCCUCGGGCUGACAUCCCAAAGUGAAAAUGUCUAAAAAAAUAGUUGCAACAUUUACCCAUUUGAUUAUGAUUCAAAAAAAAACACAAACGGAGAAAUUAUUGGGAUUGUUAAGAUAGUUAAAAUGGUUAGUUAUUGUUUCAGUUUGUUAAGCAAGAUAGGUAGAGUUACUGACGUGUUAGCUGAGCUGGCAUAAGUUAUUCAACUCUCAGGUGCUUAGAAACCUUGUAUAAAUACAUUUGUAAUCAGCUAAAGAAUGGAUGAUUCAGAUUUAUUCAUCAAAUCCAGCUCUUAGAUGAUCUCUGUUCUUUCUUUCAUUUUCUCUCAUUUUCUUACUUAUCAAACAGAUUAGAAACUUUAACUUGGUAUCAGAGCCUGAAAGGUUUGGUAGUUGUUCUGUUUUAUCUUCAGUUUCAUUUUGUGAUCACAGAAACGUUAGGACUUGCUUGCAUGAACGCACAUUAAACCACGGAAAUUUUGUCAGACAUGCACGCAAAUGAAAUUUUAUCAGCAGUCUUGUAAUUUUCUAUUUUUGUUGUUGUCGUCAUUUUUUUACUACUAGUACUGUUUGAAAUUCUAGUAUUUUGGAUGUGAAAUUUAUUAUAUUAUGAUAGGUCCCAGUCAGAAUUAGCGGAAACAACAAGUAAAUAAUUUGUUCUUCUUAGGGUAAGAACUACCGCAAUUGCUAAUUGAAUUAGAUAAAAGUCUGAUAUCUUUUUAUUGAAUUAUUCGAGUCUAUUUAUAGAACAAAAUUAAUGAAAUAAAGUAGUUAAAAUCAAUUAAACCACUUAGCUAUAAUUUCGAAGUAAAUAAUAAUCUUAAAGGAAUCAUGAUUAAAUCUGAAUUCUUCAUCAAUACGGCUUGACUUAGUAAGCUUUCCGUUGAUUUUGUGAAGAGUCCUUGAAGGAACGUGAUGCCCACCUCAUGCAUGGCUUGCAUGUUACUUGCAUGUGCCCAUACAUUUUCGUUAUUGGCUUGCAUGGUUGCUUGCAUGUGCCCAUGCAUAUUCGUCAUAUUUGUUGUUGGGUUUUGCUUCUCACUUGGACUUGCGUAUACUCUUAUCAUAUUAGAUAUUCGACAUAUAUAUGAUGCUGAAUACAGGGUAUGUGUUGUCUAAAUUUAUUUUAUUUUGUUUGCUUCACAUCCAAUUUUCAAAAGCUUUGAAGAAUGCUAAGAGAAGGAGCAAAGGGCUAAAGAGUCAAAUGUAACAUUGCUAUUAAUUUGUUAAUUGCCAUCAUUUUUAAUUUUUGCCCUGCUUGUUCUGUUUACUCAUUUAUUUCACUUGGUUUUGCUCCACGUCUAUCUUUCCUAACUUAGGAAGGCAAGGAUUUUGAAAGUUCUGAAGAAGAUUCAGGUCACUCGUGUGAAUAAGAGCUGUGUUACUGUUUAAAAGUUUUCAUGCUCUGGAAUAAAAUUUGCUUUACUGUGUUACUGGUCAACUUCAUUAUUCUACUAAUGCUUUACUUCAUCUUCAUUGUAUCACUACAUUGACAGCGUUGACAGUGUAAGAGUCGUUUUCACGAUUUUUAAGAAAUUUUGAUCACAUUAAACUUUUGAUCUGAGUUCAUAACAAAAAUCAAAACGGCGCAUGACAUCAAGAUUAUGAUGAAUCAAAUUGAACUCCCAAUACGUUAGUUCAUAAAAAAUGCUUUUCUUCUUCCAAGUAAUCUUAUCAUUUCUUUCAUUUUAUUCAUUCUCCUCUUUUCUCCUCUUUUCAAGUCUUCAAUCUUAUACUCAGUAAGUACAUUACUGAACUGCUUUUUCACCUCAGCUCCAGACAACCGAGAAGGUGCUUGUCCGGUUGUCCCCACUCUCUAGUUUUAUCAGAUGGCACUAUAUUUUCGGAACCUAUGAUUUGUUGGUAAAAAUCGACGGUGACCCACGUGACAAUUUUCUACUAUGUAUCAACCAAUUAGAUCUAGUGUUUUGUUGGCAAACAAGAAAUGCUUAUUUACCUUUAAUACUCCACCCAAACAAGUUGGCAUAUGCUAGAAAGUCGGAGAUAGUCCAUAACAAUGCUGCGUGUGACUUGAACAUUUGAUUAUGUGAUGCAUUAUGCAUCAUUCCAACCAUACUAGCAUCACUACCCGAGUCAUGACUAACCUGUUUCUUAGUUAGAUUUCAAAGAUGAAGAUGGCUCACCCUCCAAUAUCCAGUUUUAAUACUUUAACCAAUAGCCAUUUAUAAUGAUAUGGUCUCUUGCCACUUUCCUUAUAAGGAAAUAUCGAUAUUACGACACUUCUUAGAAGGACAAUAAAUUCUUUUAUCACCAACAACAUUCUCAAAUGCAAAAUCUAUAAAUUUUUUGACCCAUCAGUAUAUGAAUUGGAUAUCUAUUUGGCAAACCAACCCAACUCUGGUCCAUGACUAUGUCCUUUUAAUGCACUAGAAAAAUUAGUUAAAUAAAUCACUUUAAUUCUUCAUUUCUACUACUAAACAAGAUAUUUUCAUGUGUGCGCAGUUUCGCAAUAUAAUAAAAAAAAUUAUUAUACAAUUUUAUGGUUAAUCUCAUUAGAACGUUUAUAUAUAUGGAAGCAAGCAAAGCCACAAGAAUCAGAGAAAAAGAUGUGAAAAUUAAAGUAUAUAUACAACAAUAAUUAAUCUAAAAAACAGUUUGCAAUACCUUCUGUAAAGAAAUAUCCUCACCCACUGCUGAGAACUUCACUUGGCUAUCAAUUACAGAUAUAUAAAGCCUGUUACCUAGAAACAAAAAAUUAGGUCAGCCAGCUAAAACAUAUUUAUAAACCAACAUUGGAGAUAGUACUCCAUUUAUAAACAAAAUUACAAGACUCAAAACCAAGUCGACUCAGCAAAAUCAUAACCGAUUACAUUCAUCCCACUCAGCUCCUCCACUCCCAUCAAUAUAUCCAACAUUCCCUUCAUAUUUACAAAAGGUAAGUGGUCCUAUAUAUCCCACUCAAGAAUGCAUAAGUUUCUUCAAUCUUAAGUAUCUAAAGUUUUCCUCUACGUUUAUAGAAACUUCGGAAGCAUCUCCCUAUAGUUCUUCAAGUACACGACAUAGAUAUAUGAAUGUUUAUGUGUUAUGCCAAAACAACACAUGACACCCAUUUGUCUAGUAUGCACCCAGAGAACAUGAGGAGCAGCUGCUGAAAAACCCAUUUUUACGUGGGAAAAAAAUUUCAGGCACUAGCUGCCAUAGAAAUCUAUGCAUUACCAAACUGUCCAAGCCUAGAUAUUUCAAGAAUUAUUAAUAGACAUAAGAUCCUCACUAUCAUCCAAAAGAUGACACUAAUAAAACAUGUGUCUAUUAAUAAUUUCUUAAAGGAGUUUAAGCUUUCAAUGCAUGUAUCAAAAGUUUAAAAUUGAAUCUGAAACUUGAAUAACACAUAAAAAUCAUAAAUCUCUUCAAUUUAUUCCUAAUAAAAUGUAGCAUUUUUUCACAUUUCAUUUCUUAAGCAAAACCAUAAAAAAUUACAAACAAUAAAUACAUUUUCUAGCACUGAUGCACAUUAUGUUUACUGAGCAAUAAGUUUUAAGUCAUUCAUAUUAAAAUACUUCUUCCUAUUCUAUCAACAAAUAACUAGUACGUACACACAAUUAAUAAAUUAAAUGUAACCUGGUUGUGAAUCUUGCAAAGUCUUCCUAUUUUUUUUUUUUUUUUUUGGUGGGGGGGGGGGGGGAGGGGGGAGGGGGUGGUUAUGCUCAUUUGUGUGUUGUUAACAGAAAUUGAUCCAAAGCCUCAGUUUUAAUUAGCUUCAUUAUAGCCAAUGAUUAGGUGUUUAAAAACCAAUGAAUAUUUUUUAUAAGAAAUCAACAAUAUUGUUGAAAGAAAAACCAAAUAAAAAUAAUAAAGCAAUGCAUAGAUUAAGGCUCUUUAUUAUCUAAUAACUAAUCAAACUAAGUUGUGGGUAAAGGAGAAUAUGUUUGUUUGGCCAAUAAUAAACUCAAGGAAUCACCAAUAAUCACCUAGUUACUAUUCCUUAUGCCAUGCAAUGUAAUGGCGUCGGUAAUGGCGACAAGGCAGGCAAUAACUAGCUAGCUAGUUAUGAUAGUUGCUUAACUUAACCUACUGGAAAUCUGAAGACCAAAAUGAAGAAACUUUGCCUAGAACUAGAAUAGGAAAACAUUCAUACCCAAAACCAAUAUACAUGAUUAAGAAACUUGAUUAUAUGUAUAUUUUUGUUUGCCACACCAAAUCCCACUAUUUCCAUACUCAUAAGCACAAAAAACCAUCGCAAAAAUGAAUGACCAUAUAAAAUAAAAUAGGUCGCAGGACAUUGAGAAUAGGACAAUAUGAUUUAUGUACUGUAAAAUAACUAUAUCUGCAGUCAACUAUAUUUCUGUUAGAACUCUAAAGUUUUCCAUUAAAUUUUUUUCCCUGUUAGGUAAACCACUUAACUGAAACACUUAAGCAAGAUUGACAAUCAUAGACAUAAAAGUAUUAAUAGGCUCAUUCAAGUGAAAUGAGCAUUAUUUCACAUAUCCUUUAGGCUUUUAAGUCAUUUAGAAGUCAUUCAUGUUAAACAAUUUCUUCAUAUACUUUCAAUAUAAUUAGUACAUACACAAUUAAUUAAUUAAAUAAAUCUGUUUCAGCUAGCACAGGAACUUAAGCAAUCAGAGCUAUUAGUUAUAGCUAGGACUUGAAUGAGGCACCUUUCAAAGUUCAAGAGGAGCAUCUGAACAGAAUGAAAGCAGUUUGUAGAAAUGGUAGUGAUGCUUUACAUCUACAUGCUCUUACACAAUAUGAACUUUCAUUUAUUCAAGAACAUAACACUAAUCCAAGCUCUUACUCUACAAGUCAAUUCAGUUUGUAGAUGCAAGCCAUUGUAAAAACUUUUGUGUUAUAAUUUCCGUAAAUGGAACAUGACAUUACUAAUAUAGAAUCAGCAAUGUUAUAUAACUUAUCAGACAAUAUAACAAGCACUUGGCGAGCAUAUAAGAUAAACUAAAACAAGUUAAUUAGAAAAUGAAACUAAAACCCAAGCUCCGCUAUUCAUUGUAGAAGCUUUAAACAUAAAAUUAAACUAAAUCUAAUGCCAAAACAUUAGAAUGGAUGUUGGAAUUAAAGCUAAAUUCAAUAGUAAUCCAAAUGAAUCCAUUUGAACUUUGUAAACUCCGCAGAACAAAAUUAAUUUGAGUGAGCAAACUCACCAAUGGCACAAGAACAGAAGGGCUUCAACUUCUAGGAACAAAAAACAUUGCCGGUGGGACAAAAAUUGACAUUAAUGGCUACAAUACGAAUUAAAGAGAUCAAAACCUAUAAUUACAAGCUAAGAAAGAGAGGAAACUCAUAAUCACAAGCUUACCUGAAACGAAGAGAGAGAAUAAGAUGAAGAAGAAGAUCGCUGCCGUUUUACGCCAUUCUCCGGCUACCAGUAAGGUUUAGGAUGCUGGCCAGGCACGAGAGAGAAUUUGGGACUUUGGUCUUCAAAAUAUUGACUCCAGCAAAUAGUUUUCUAUUUAGAAACAAAUUUAUAACUCUACCGUCA
rnacentral:lncRNA from 1 species